rnacentral:miRNA from 1 species
AAGUUGGCUGCAGUUAAGGUGG